AAGAGGUUACUUUAACACAUGUUCCUGACCUUGGCACCGGAAUGUUUGUUGCGUUUGCAUAUGUUGUUCUUCUUUCUAGUGUCCUUUUCUAAACCUUUUUCCUGAAAAUUUUCCCUUUUUUGUCUCCCUCUUUCAUUCUCUCUCUUGAUCAUCACUCAUUCAGCAAAAGAAUGGUGGGUUUCUCUUUCUGAAGGAGAAAAGAAACAAACGUGAAUGCAAUAUGAUCACCAUCAUCUUUAGUAUUCCUUUUUAUUGUUGUUUUGGCAUUGCUAUUAUUUCUUGAAAUGUGCUAAUCAAUUUGCCUCACGAUUAGAAUAUAAUUGCGGAAGCUUUCAAGCCUCCAUGUAAGAACUCAAUCUCCUUAACCGAUGGAAGUACACGCAAGCAGGUGCGUUGUCAUGUUCUGCUGCAAUUUGCUGAUGGUAGAGCAAUGUGAAUGAAUGAUCUAACCUUUUUCCGUUUUGUUGGUAAUUUGUGCUUAUGGAGUUUCCUUGUUUACCAUCACUUCUAACCUAUCUAUCAAUGUGAAAAUUGGACCUUUGAGUAUGUAACUCAUUUUUUCAAAAAGUUCCUCGUGCCUCUCUUUUCAUGACAAAGAGGUUUCAGAGUUAGAUUAUCACAGAUGAACAUUUGAUUCAGAAAUCGCUUGCAACCCCAAUUGCAGCCUCAAUGUUAAGGAUUUUGUGGUCUUUGUGACUGCAUUCCGACCACAAUUGUGGCCACAUCAUCUAUAAUUGUUCAAUUUUCCACAGUAUGAAGCAUUUCAACCAAACACCCACAGUCGAGGCUGCUUCAGUCAUCCUAUUAUUUACAAUUUUUCACACUAUCAAAGAUUUCAACUAAAUCAAAACCACGGCUAAAUAGAACUGUCGACUAAUUAUUGAUCCAAAUGGUUUUGGUAUGAGAUCAGAUUCCAUGUGGGUUUCUAUAUUUUAUCCUUAUCUGACUCGCAUGUGCACGAAAUUGUAAGGCAAUAUUCUAUCCAGGUAAUGGCUCAAUGAUCUGAUUGUCACUAAUUUGUGGUGCAUGCUAUAAUCUAUGUGACAGAAAGUGGUUAGUCCAUGACUUUGUCUUUAUAUACCCAUGUUCAAUUUCUGAAAUUUUAGAUGAGAUUUGGGAUUUCUAGUUAAGUAUUGUGUUGUUUUUCUUUAUCUUAUAGCAGCAUGUUAAUCCCUUCAACUGUAAGAUAUUAUUGUCGAGGGAAAAGAUACCUCUGUUUGCUUUGUAACUUCUCCAUUAUUAUCACUCUUCAAAUGUAAUCACUUCCACAUGAAGAUUAAGAUUUAGCUUGCAGGAUGCUGAGAAAGGGUAUUAUUUCAUUCAUUUUUUAAAAGCUUUAAGAAGAACACCUUGAUUUACUCUUUUGUACACUAUCUCAUUUGCUAGGUACGCAUAAAGAAGGAAAAUGGGCAAAUGGUCAUGGUUCCUCUCUUUCAAUGUCAUGACAAUAUAGUUGGGCAGGUCUAGCGUGUCCGUAUGGUUAGGGUCUAAGCAUAAAGCUGCUUGACAAUCUUGAAGAGCUGAAGAUAGGUCUCCUACUGCCUCAUAAAAUGCUGCUCGGAGAUGAAGCAUUUGCAAGUCAGGUUUGAAAUUUAUGGCCUUGCUGAGCUCAUCUACAGCUUCAGAC
rnacentral:sRNA from 1 species